GGGAGUUGCUCGUGCAACUUUUGAAGAUGCGCAAAAGCAGAUGGAAGACAUAUUGGGAGCUAUUGAAAAAAAAUCUGAGAGUAUCACAAAAAUUCAAAGUGAUCUUGAAAGGAGAAAACUCGAAGCAUUGGAAGCUCAUAAAGUGGAACAAGUUCGUGUUUUAAUGAUGUACAGGGAGGGGCUCCGCAGGGACGGUGGCUGGGCGCGGGUUGGCUGGUGUGGUUCUCAACUUCACGGCGGCAGCAGCUAACAACACUUGAACCAAUGAUCACUGGAUUGCAAGAAUCAUUGCCAAAGUCCAUUGGAUUGCUUCCUUUUUAUGGAGGUGUGGCAGAUGCUAAACAGAGAGAAGUAGAUACCUGACACUUCAUGUAAACAGCCCCUUGGCUGGGUUUACUUCCCAGUGCUGAUGGGCAAGUAUUACAUUCUCGAGAUGGUGGAGAUAGUCCAAUUCUCAGUCUCUUUAAAUUAGUCACUGCUGCAAUAUUAUCUAAGCCAGGGUGCCCAAAUCCAACCUCUUUCAGCACCCUAUCAAAACAAGCAGAAGCUACAGGUACAGAGCUGAACAUUCAAUAUUUAGAAAACUCAUUAUGUGACAAGCGAAAUAGAAAAUGAUACUUAAUUUUGAAGGCUUUGUGUUGGGCAGCAGUAGAAUAUUUUGUGCUAAAAGUAAUAACUUUUCAAUAUGUUGAAUAUUUAAGACUGCUUGAAUACUUAAAGAACUUUUUGUUGUUGAUGACAGUGUUGAAUGUUUUAAACUAAUUUGUGGAUUGUUAAUACAAUGUUGAAUGUUUUUACUUUUUGUUA